rnacentral:rRNA from 1 species
GGAAUUGACGGAAGGGCACCACCAGGAGUGGGGCUUGCGGCUUAAUUUGACUCAACGCGGGAAAUCUCAUCAGGCCAAGACACUGGAAGGAUUGACAGAUUGAUAGCUCUUUCUUGAUUCGGUGGGUGGUGGUGCAUGGCCGUUCAUAGUUGGUGGGGUGACUUGUCUGGUUAAUUCCGAUAACGAACGAGAUUCAAGCCUACUAACUAGUCGAUACCGGCAUCCUUGGUGCAGCCGGCGACGGCAAAUCUUCUUAGAGGGACAAACGGCAUCUAGCCGUGCGAGACUGAGCAAUAACAGGUCUGUGAUGCCCUUAGAUGCUCUGAGCCGCACGCGUGCCACACUGAAGGGAUCAGCGUGUGUUUUCCUUGCCCGAGAGGGCCGGGUAACCCGUUGAACCCCCUUCGUGCUAGGGAUUGGCCCUUGCAAUUCUUGGCCACCAACGAGGAAUUCCCAGUAAGCUUGAAUCAUCAGUUCGAGUUGAUUAAGUCCCUGCCCUUUGUCCACACCGCCCGUCGCUACUACCGAUUGAAUGAUUUAGUGAGGUCUUCGGACCGGUGCGCGGCUUCCUCGCGGCAGCCGAUGACACCGGAAAGAUGACCGAACUUGAUUAUUUAGAGGAAGUAAAAGUCGUAACAAGGUUACCGUAGGU